rnacentral:rRNA from 1 species
AUGCACGCUGGCGGCGUGCCUCAUACAUGCAAGUCGAGCGAACGGACGAGAAGCUUGCUUUUCUGAUGUUAGCGGCGGACGGGUGAGUAACACGUGGAUAACCUACCUAUAAGACUGGGAUAAUUUCGGGAAACCGGAGCUAAUACCGGAUAAUAUUUUGAACCGCAUGGUUCAAAAGUGAAAGACGGUCUUGCUGUCACUUAUAGAUGGAUCCGCGCUGCAUUAGCUAGUUGGUAAGGUAACGGCUUACCAAGGCAACGAUGCAUAGCCGACCUGAGAGGGUGAUCGGCCACACUGGAACUGAGACACGGUCCAGACUCCUACGGGAGGCAGCAGUAGGGAAUCUUCCGCAAUGGGCGAAAGCCUGACGGAGCAACGCCGCGUGAGUGAUGAAGGUCUUCGGAUCGUAAAACUCUGUUAUUAGGGAAGAACAUAUGUGUAAGUAACUGUGCACAUCUUGACGGUACCUAAUCAGAAAGCCACGGCUAACUACGUG